CACGUAGUUAGCCGGUGCUUAUUCUUCAGGUACCGUCAUUAGUCGUGGAUAUUAGCCUCAACCGUUUCUUCCCUGACAAAAGAGCUUUACAACCCGAAGGCCUUCUUCACUCACGCGGCAUUGCUGGAUCAGGCUUUCGCCCAUUGUCCAAAAUUCCCCACUGCUGCCUCCCGUAGGAGUCUGGACCGUGUCUCAGUUCCAGUGUGGCUGGUCGUCCUCUCAGACCAGCUACUGAUCGUCGCCUUGGUGAGCCUUUACCUCACCAACUAGCUAAUCAGAUAUCGGCCGCUCCAGGAGCACAAGGUCCGAAGAUCCCCUGCUUUCAUCCUUAGAUCGUAUGCGGUAUUAGCGUAACUUUCGCUACGUUAUCCCCACUCUUGGGUACGUUCCGAUAUAUUACUCACCCGUUCGCCACUCGCCGCCAGGUUGCCCGCGCUGCCGUUCGACUUGCAUGUGUAAAGCAUGCCGCCAGCGUCUAACUCUCGAGCACGGAUCUAAA
rnacentral:rRNA from 1 species